rnacentral:rRNA from 1 species
UCGAACGGCAGCACGGGUGCUUGCACCUGGUGGCGAGUGGCGAACGGGUGAGUAAUACAUCGGAACAUGUCCUGUAGUGGGGGAUAGCCCGGCGAAAGCCGGAUUAAUACCGCAUACGAUCUACGGAUGAAAGCGGGGGACCUUCGGGCCUCGCGCUAUAGGGUUGGCCGAUGGCUGAUUAGCUAGUUGGUGGGGUAAAGGCCUACCAAGGCGACGAUCAGUAGCUGGUCUGAGAGGACGACCAGCCACACUGGGACUGAGACACGGCCCAGACUCCUACGGGAGGCAGCAGUGGGGAAUUUUGGACAAUGGGCGAAAGCCUGAUCCAGCAAUGCCGCGUGUGUGAAGAAGGCCUUCGGGUUGUAAAGCACUUUUGUCCGGAAAGAAAUCCUUGGCUCUAAUACAGUCGGGGGAUGACGGUACCGGAAGAAUAAGCACCGGCUAACUACGUGCCAGCAGCCGCGGUAAUACGUAGGGUGCGAGCGUUAAUCGGAAUUACUGGGCGUAAAGCGUGCGCAGGCGGUUUGCUAAGACCGAUGUGAAAUCCCCGGGCUCAACCUGGGAACUGCAUUGGUGACUGGCAGGCUAGAGUAUGGCAGAGGGGGGUAGAAUUCCACGUGUAGCAGUGAAAUGCGUAGAGAUGUGGAGGAAUACCGAUGGCGAAGGCAGCCCCCUGGGCCAAUACUGACGCUCAUGCACGAAAGCGUGGGGGAGCAAACAGGAUUAGAUACCCUGGUAGUCCACGCCCUAAACGAUGUCAACUAGUUGUUGGGGAUUCAUUUCCUUAGUAACGUAGCUAACGCGUGAAGUUGACCGCCUGGGGAGUACGGUCGCAAGAUUAAAACUCAAAGGAAUUGACGGGGACCCGCACAAGCGGUGGAUGAUGUGGAUUAAUUCGAUGCAACGCGAAAAACCUUACCUACCCUUGACAUGGUCGGAAUCCCGCUGAGAGGUGGGAGUGCUCGAAAGAGAACCGGCGCACAGGUGCUGCAUGGCUGUCGUCAGCUCGUGUCGUGAGAUGUUGGGUUAAGUCCCGCAACGAGCGCAACCCUUGUCCUUAGUUGCUACGCAAGAGCACUCUAAGGAGACUGCCGGUGACAAACCGGAGGAAGGUGGGGAUGACGUCAAGUCCUCAUGGCCCUUAUGGGUAGGGCUUCACACGUCAUACAAUGGUCGGAACAGAGGGUUGCCAACCCGCGAGGGGGAGCUAAUCCCAGAAAACCGAUCGUAGUCCGGAUUGCACUCUGCAACUCGAGUGCAUGAAGCUGGAAUCGCUAGUAAUCGCGGAUCAGCAUGCCGCGGUGAAUACGUUCCCGGGUCUUGUACACACCGCCCGUCACACCAUGGGAGUGGGUUUUACCAGAAGUGGCUAGUCUAACCGCAAGGAGGACGGUCACCACGGUAGGAUUCAUGACUG